GAACUCGACUAUAGCGUUCUCUCUUGUUUUUUUCUUUGAUCGGCACAUUAAUCCCAUAUUUGGUUGUCAAUAGGUUUUUACUGAUUUUUAUUUCUGCCCCUAAAUCCUUAAGGCUAUAAUUUCCUAAAAUAGCAUCGAAAGUUGUCAGGGAGGGUAGUAGAAAAAAUUUUAUAUUUAUAUCCGGGUAAUUGAAAAGGUUGGCUAUUUUAUGAUGAGUUACUUGAAUACUGCCCCCCAACAGUGCCAGCAUUAAACUUGGUUUUAUUGGGUAUGAGAUUUUUUACUAGGUCGGGCUUAAUGUAAUUUCUGUUUGAUCCGGUGUCCAUAAGUAUUUUUAAUAUUUGACCACUCCUCACCUUACAUUCAAAAUAGGGAAGUAAGGAGUCUUUAUUCUAAAAAAUUCAAAGCUGAGUAGGCAUAGUUAUUUUCGUCUUCGGUGCCGUCAUAUUGAUCAAUGUAGUUUCAAUGUGUUUUAAAUAACGACAAGCUGAGUGCAAGCUGUGAGUAUGCUAAAACAAAAAAAAAAGCUUAUAAAUAAAGCUUAAUGUGCUAUUUUAUCUAGAUAUACAAUUAAACUUUAAACAAAAAAAAAACAAAAAAUAGAACGACAAAGAAAAAAAAACCACGCGACAAGUAGUAAAAGCCAGUUGGAAAGAAAGAGCGGUUGUAUUGUACUGGAUGCCAGGCCUGAAUGCAGGCGAGUUUUCAUUUCUGAAAAAAAAUCGUAGCGUGGCACCUUGUGAGCAGUCCCAUACGCAAAAGUUAAGCGGGAAAGUGAGCCAGCAUCGCAGCGCCGUAGCCGUAGUCGUUAAACAAUUGAUCAGCAAGAAAAAAAUUGAAUUAAAAUGAAAUUGAAAAAAAAAGGCAAUCAAAUAAGAGAAAAAUAUUGUUGAAGUGAACGGGUGAAAACUAAUAUAGAAAGUGAAAAGAAAAGUAUGUGAAAAAAGAAAAGAAAUCGCUAAAAAAAAAAGUAAACGUAUUGCAGAAUUCUGCAAUCAAAAAUCAAACAAACAUAAAAAAAACAAUUCCUAUAUAAUAAUGUGAUUAUAUUACAAAAAAAAAAAUAUAUAUAAAAAAGGAAAAAAAACCGACGACGAUCUAACUUUGUAACCAUGAGCAAGAACUUUUGUUUUUCCCAGCCGAUCGCCGCAGCCAAAGAUCUUUCGCCGCCGGAAUUGGAUUUACUGUAAGUGCUUUAUCAUAUAUAUUGUUGCAUUCUACCCUUUAUUUAGUUAUUACGUCAUCAGCAUGACGCAAUGCGCUUUAGAAGCUGAAGUAAUUGUUUCGCAUUAAAAUAAGGUUUGUUUUGAUUACGCCUUUCGUCUUUCGCAUUGGAAUUAUGAAUUUUUUUUUUGCAUUUAUGAAAACUAAGAAUUUGGAUUAACGUAAUACCGCAAUAUACCUUCCCAUGUUUCAUUUUUAUUAUUAAAUAUGUCAUUAUUAUUAUUACUAUUACUAUAUCACACCUCUUAAUUAUUGAAUUACACUGCUUCUAUAUAAGAAUAACCCAGUUCUUUUCCAGCAACAUUUAUCUCUUUGCCAAUAAGUUACAAUACUUAUAUAUAUAUAUAGCUAAUUUCUUUAUAUACACUUAUCUAUACAUAACCAAUGGUGAAACUAAAGAUAUAAAGAGAAAUGAAAUAGAAAUUUAGUUGAAUUAUGUCAAAAAUAUAUACUUAUAGAACUGAGAUGAAUAUGAAAUUAAUGGUUUAUUAAUUGCUAUGUUAAUAAAAGAUUAUCAACAUGAAUUUUAGAUAAAUUUCUUCUUAUCCGGGGGUCAUGGAUAUCAAAGUGUCAUGGAAUGAGUAGAAUGUAGUCACUUCAAGGGAUCCUAAGUGUAAUUUGUAGGACCAUAAGGAUCAUGGAAGGGUGGGCAUUACGCAGACUUGCGUGAUAGAAGAAGUGAUGUUGGCAAGUGUAUCCCUUAUUUUCUCCCUCUUUAGUUUUUUUUUUCUUUUCUAUCUUUAUACUAGCCUUUUCUGUUCGUUCCCUUUUUGUCUAUAAAUAUAAUACGCGAAUUUAAAUUAUUUUUCAAUAGCAUACGAGCAUUUUAACGUGGCUGUUCUUUCUUUUGCUGAUCCACCCCAAGCCGACUAGAUAUCUGAAAUGCCGAUGACAUCGCGUGCUCCGUUAACACGUUAAUAUUCCACCAGCUCAGUCUUAAUAGAUUGUUAUAUGCUACAGAAAUAAUUAUGGCGCCCAACGUGGGGCCUAACCUUGGCUGCCUCGUCAGAAUUCAGAAUAGUCAUCAACAUCAAACUGUGUGGAAUUUUCGUUUACCACUGGAGACUAAAAUAUGGUUUUUCAUUUUCUUUUGUGGUCUAAUCGAGCUAAGUGAAUGAGUUUAUAGCGGCAUCAGUUUACUCGAUUGGAUUAACUUAUUUAAUAAAGGUAUAGUUCCGGGAGUGUAAGUUUGAUAUGCCGUCCCAAAAAAAAUAAAAGAACAGAUAUAUAACGCUGGUUCCUGUGAGUGGUCGUGGAUAUCAGGGAAGAUUUCUAUAUCCUGCCACGCAGGAUAACAAGCGCUGUGCUCUUUGGGUAUUAAUCAACCGUUUUUCGUUUUGCGGUCUGCACUCGAACACAACCGAAAAAGGCGAUGCGCGUGUGCUCUCGCUCUGAACAGAACUUUUCGUUUCUCUUUGUUUUGGUUUUCGGUCAACUGUUCUCAGACGCGUGGUUCUUGUUAUACUCACUCAACAACAACUCAGUGAGAGCGAGCCAACUAAACGCUCGCUCGUUGGAGUCAGCAGAAGAGCGAAAACACGAAAGACUCAUCGUAAACGGUCUUUUGUCUUCAGUGCCUUUUAAACAAAGCUUAGCAAAAAAUGUAACAUAUUUAUUAGAUGUAAACAUUAGAUCUAUUACUUAUUCAGUAUUAAGCUUUACAAUUAGUAGCGAAUUAACAUUUAUGCACUUAAAGAGCUUCGUCGCUCGUUUAAAAUGUAAUGAAGCGCUGAAAAGGCCCUCUCAACAGACACCUGCGUCGCCGGUGUAGCCAGUACAUCGUGUGCGAGCGCAUUCAGGUGUGGCGACUGCAGCUUAAUAUCAGUAAAGUACUGCAAAAUGAUCGCAUUUAGUGGCAAACGUCCAUGCAUAAGGUCGAAAUUUUCUAUGUCAGCAUAGAUCUGGACCAGUUUUUUAGAUACAGGCUCUUCCUUAGUUUCUGAGAUUGUCUGUACGCCAUCCAAAUAGGCGGAAAACAGAGACUCUUCUUUGUCAGCACAUUCACCACCGUCAGAUGUCAGCUCCUUCUUCUGGUCUUGGAUAUAACCCUCGCACUUUGUGUUGGGGAAUGCACCUUAAAUAAAAACUAAAUUUGAACAUAUUUUUCGCAAUGUUAGUUUAAAACAAUUGUUAGUUUUUGACAUGGACAAUAUACUUUGUUUAAACAUUUAAUAGCAAUUAACAACAAUAAAACAGGACCUUAACUUCAAACACACGUA